rnacentral:rRNA from 1 species
UGCCGGUGACAAACCGGAGGAAGGUGGGGAUGACGUCAAAUCAUCAUGCCCCUUAUGACCUGGGCUACACACGUGCUACAAUGGACGGUACAAAGAGCUGCAAGACCGCGAGGUGGAGCUAAUCUCAUAAAACCGUUCUCAGUUCGGAUUGUAGGCUGCAACUCGCCUACAUGAAGCUGGAAUCGCUAGUAAUCGCGGAUCAGCAUGCCGCGGUGAAUACGUUCCCGGGCCUUGUACACACCGCCCGUCACACCACGAGAGUUUGUAACACCCGAAGUCGGUGGGGUAACCUUUUUGGAGCCAGCCGCCUAAGGUGGGACAGAUGAUUGGGGUGAAGUCGUAACAAGGUAGCCGUAUCGGAAGGUGCGGCUGGAUCACC